rnacentral:rRNA from 1 species
GACGAACGCUUUUGGCGUGCUUGACACAUGCAAGUCGAACGGAAAGGCCCUGCUUUUGUGGGGUGCUCGAGUGGCGAACGGGUGAGUAACACGUGAGUAACCUGCCCUUGACUUUGGGAUAACUUCAGGAAACUGGGGCUAAUACCGGAUAGGAGCUCCUGCUGCAUGGUGGGGGUUGGAAAGUUUCGGCGGUUGGGGAUGGACUCGCGGCUUAUCAGCUUGUUGGUGGGGUAGUGGCUUACCAAGGCUUUGACGGGUAGCCGGCCUGAGAGGGUGACCGGCCACAUUGGGACUGAGAUACGGCCCAGACUCCUACGGGAGGCAGCAGUGGGGAAUAUUGCACAAUGGGCGGAAGCCUGAUGCAGCAACGCCGCGUGCGGGAUGACGGCCUUCGGGUUGUAAACCGCUUUCGCCUGUGACGAAGCGUGAGUGACGGUAAUGGGUAAAGAAGCACCGGCUAACUACGUGCCAGCAGCCGCGGUGAUACGUAGGGUGCGAGCGUUGUCCGGAUUUAUUGGGCGUAAAGGGCUCGUAGGUGGUUGAUCGCGUCGGAAGUGUAAUCUUGGGGCUUAACCCUGAGCGUGCUUUCGAUACGGGUUGACUUGAGGAAGGUAGGGGAGAAUGGAAUUCCUGGUGGAGCGGUGGAAUGCGCAGAUAUCAGGAGGAACACCAGUGGCGAAGGCGGUUCUCUGGGCCUUUCCUGACGCUGAGGAGCGAAAGCGUGGGGAGCGAACAGGCUUAGAUACCCUGGUAGUCCACGCUGUAAACGGUGGGUACUAGGUGUGGGGUCCAUUCCACGGGUUCCGUGCCGUAGCUAACGCUUUAAGUACCCCGCCUGGGGAGUACGGCCGCAAAGCUAAAACUCAAAGGAAUUGACGGGGCCCCGCACAAGCGGCGGAGCAUGCGGAUUAAUUCGAUGCAACGCGUAGAACCUUACCUGGGUUUGACAUGGAUCGGGAGUGCUCAGAGAUGGGUGUGCCUCUUUUGGGGUCGGUUCACAGGUGGUGCAUGCCUGUCGUCAGCUCGUGUCGUGAGAUGUUGGGUUAAGUCCCGCAACGAGCGCAACCCUUGUUCACUGUUGCCAGCACGUUAUGGUGGGGACUCAGUGGAGACCGCCGGGGUCAACUCGGAGGAAGGUGGGGAUGACGUCAAGUCAUCAUGCCCCUUAUGUCCAGGGCUUCACGCAUGCUACAAUGGCUGGUACAGAGAGUGGCGAGCCUGUGAGGGUGAGCGAAUCUCGGAAAGCCGGUCUCAGUUCGGAUUGGGGUCUGCAACUCGACCUCAUGAAGUCGGAGUCGCUAGUAAUCGCAGAUCAGCAACGCUGCGGUGAAUACGUUCCCGGG